GGGCGGCUAGCUCAGUUGGGAGAGCGCUGCAUUCGCAUUGCAGAGGUCGAGGGUUCAAAUCCCUUGCCGUCCACCA
rnacentral:tRNA from 1 species